rnacentral:lncRNA from 1 species
CGCAGAACUGUUACGUGAAACACUUACCUUUGCUUCGAGUUGUUGACAAAUUUGACUUCGCCGUGCCAUCUACUAACCGCCUGGUUAGCUCAUAUGGUAGAGCGGCUGCCCCGGAAAGGCGGCGGUCCCAGGUUCGAGUCCCGGACCAAGGCGAAUUUUUCUUCAACUCCGAGGCUUUUCUUUCGAGGAACCCGGAUUGCUUUCCUUUGUAGCAAUUGCAACAAUUGGUGGAUGUCUCAUUCUCCCUUUAAUUACUUCACUCCACCUAGCAGGUUUCCGCUGAACUAUUACGU